GAGGUUCCCAUCGGCUGGAUACGAUUACGGAAGGCGAAAUUGAAACGCACACGAGGUGAUACCUAGAAUUUUGACACGACAUCAGUAAUUAGCAUUGAAUGUGAUUCCUGCUCGUCCGAAUUUAUCGACAAAAAACGACCCAGUCGCACAUCCGGCGUGCACGCGUUAGUUAAUCUAAUCAAAUCGGAUCGCUCUCCAUCCAACUGUUUGAGAACGAGCGAGCUAGAGUGUCGGUGUGUAUCGGGGCUGCAGGAUCACGUUUUCCGACGGCCGACGGAUGGGUGCCAUCACCUUGCCCGGCCGCGUGCAACCGAUGCAAACGAGCAAAAAGAAUGCCGCCCAUUGAGCAUUUGGUUGCGCUCGUCUGCCUCAUCAUCAUUACGUCGAAGGAAACACCUGGUGUGCGAUUCCUUGGUUGCCAUGUGCUAACGAUUAGACGACCACGUCGCAGAAAAAAGGGGUUCUAAAAUGUAUGCAGGGCCAGACAGGCCACGCCAGCAGCCGCAGCCGUGUUAAAACGUGUCUCAGACACGGCACGAGACGAAUGAUCCUUAGUUUGUUUCCACUCAAGGAUACCGAACCCCGGCUUUUGAAGUUGAAGAGGACACACAGACACAGCAACACCGGCCUUCGUCACGUUUGCAGACGCUUCAUUUAUUCAGCUUGGGAUGUGACGCGCUGUUUGGCUGUGUUAAAGUUUUCCAACAAAUAGGUGAGAAGAAUAUUUAAUUUUAAGAUCAAUAAAUUUCGUU